rnacentral:tRNA from 1 species
AUUUAAAUAGCUCAAUAAGGGCGUAAUAUUGAAGAUAUUAAGGUAACAUUAUGUUUUUAGAUA